rnacentral:rRNA from 1 species
ACAGGGUGACAGGUUGGUGCAUGGUUGUCGUCAGCUCGUGUCGUGAGAUGUUGGGUUAAGUCCCGCAACGAGCGCAACCCUCGCCUUCUUAGUUCGCCAGCUAUUCGGUUGGGCACUUCUAGAGGGACUGCCGGCGUUAAGCCGGAGGAAGGUGGGAUGACGUCAAGUCCUCAUGGCCUUUAUGUCUAGGGCUACACACGUGCUACAAUGGGUGGUACAAAGAGCAGCUAACUCGCGAGAGUAUGCAAAUCUCAAAAAGCCAUCCUCAGUUCGGAUUGGAGUCUGCAACUCGACUCCAUGAAGUUGGAAUCGCUAGUAAUCGCGGAUCAGCAUGCCGCGGUGAAUACGUUCCCGGGCCUU